UACAGAGGGUGCAAGCGUUGUUCGGAAUUAUUGGGCGUAAAGCGCGUGUAGGCGGUCUCGCAAGUCGGAUGUGAAAGCCCUCGGCUUAACCGAGGAAGUGCGUUCGAUACUACGAGACUUGAGUGCCGGAGAGGGUGGCGGAAUUCCCGGUGUAGAGGUGAAAUUCGUAGAUAUCGGGAGGAACACCAGUGGCGAAGGCGGCCACCUGGACGGUAACUGACGCUGAGACGCGAAAGCGUGGGGAGCAAACAGG
rnacentral:rRNA from 1 species